GUGUUAUAAGUGUCCCACAAGACAACAGUCCUGAAACCGAACACCCAGGAAAUCUUAUAAAGCCAGAUCCCCGUCCAACAGGGUUAACUCCAGACUCCAGAAAAUGUGAAAAAGCAUGUGUCUGACCACCCAGCAAUUCUGGACUUUGAAAGUCAAGGAGGUUUGAAGAUCCGUCAGCCCUGUACUUGCUCACGAAGAAAAUUGUAUGAAGGCACAGCACUGUGUUUUCUGAACUUCAGCAAUCUCCACUCUCCCCUGAGUGCUCAGCGGACCGUCUACCACCACGUGAACACUUGCUCAUUCACCCUCUGAUACUAACUGUAGUCCUUCGGCAACAUGUAUAUAAUCUUGAGAAGAUGGUCUGUGCUAGGGUCCCAAUAGAUGCUCCAGUCAACGUGCAGAGAGAAGAGCUGACUAAGCACCUCACCCCAGGCCUAGUGGACACUCACAGGGAACGUAUAUUCUGCUCAUCCAUCAGAGGAAAAGCUAAGGCAAAGAAAUGGUCAUUUACAACUUCACUUUGAGCUUAGAUGUAUUCCACAGAAUAGGGAGGCAGAAAGUAGCAUUCUCUUUUUACUGGACUAGGUAAAAACAACACAACUCAAUUAACUUAAAUACGCACUGACAAUCUGUCCCAGAUGAGCAUCGGGAAGAAUCUGGCACAAGAAUAAGACAAACAGAAUUAGAACAAAUAGGUGUCUCUCCAAUUGUGUUCCUUAAAAAAAGAUUUAAUUGGUUUAUUGAGGAAUCUUAUCUCAUUGUGAAGUAAACACGAUUUCCCCAAAUUACUGCUUUUAAUUUUAAUCUGUUGAGACUCCCUUCUCCAAUGGAUAUCAAGUCCCUUAACAUUAUCUUGGCAGGUUUUUCAACUAGCAAAAAGUUAAUAAUCGAACUUACCUAAGCUGACAUCCAUACAUCAAUUAGCAGUACAACUAUCCCUUCUCUCUUAGACAAUAGAAAGCUUAACUUUGGAAAAUGCUGCCGUUCAUGAUUACAUUAUACUUUUUAUAGUUAAGAAGCAGUUAAAAUAACACAAUUCCUUAAUAUAGAACUUAAGGAAGACUCAGUCUUAAGUGCAUUCCCCACCAAGGAUCAUACCUUAUUCAUCCUUACGUUUCCAAUACCUAGCACAGGUUUUGCUGUGCUAAACCACAGUAGGUGGUUGCCAAUACAUGCUCAGAUAAACUUACUGUUGACAAGCUAAAUAUUAAGGAGCAGAGGCCACUGAGUUAUUAAAACAAUAGAAAAACAGGGUAACUGCACUUCCUCAAAUUACAGAGUUAUUUGACAGACAUUAUUACAGUUAAUAAAAUCUAAUGACAGAUGUCAGCUUUUAUAAAUUGAGAGUUUAAAAAAGAUUCUUUUACGUAGGCUCC